AAUACCUCCUUAAAUUUUAAACCCUCUACCCCUAUCGAGUAAUUCUAUACUUUAUAGAAAUUUUUAUGUUAAAACUAGUAACAAGAAGAUAAACCUUCUCUCAAGUGCAAGCAUAAUUCAGACAGGAUAAACCACUGAUAAUUAACGCCCCUGAGCAUGUAUAAGUAACCUAACAAGAAAAACCUCAUAUUUUAUGCGUUAAUCUAACACAAGAGCACUCCAAGAAAGAUUAAAAGAAAAAGAAGGAACUCGGCAAAUAUUAACCCCGCCUGUUUAUCAAAAACAUCGCCUCUUGCCUAAAAUAAGAGGUCCAGCCUGCCCAGUGACACAUGUUCAACGGCCGCGGUAUCCUAACCGUGCGAAGGUAGCGUAAUCACUUGUUCUUUAAAUGAGGACUAGUAUGAAUGGCAUCACGAGGGUUAUACUGUCUCCUUUUUCUAAUCAGUGAAACUAAUCUCCCCGUGAAGAAGCGGGGUUGAAAUUAUAAGACGAGAAGACCCUAUGGAGCUUUAAAUUUCCACUCAAAUGCUUAUCAACCUUUAUACUUCUUAGUAUUAUUAAAAAGUACCUUAGCAUUAUGAGCCAAAAUUUUAGGUUGGGGUGACCGCGGAGUACAAAAUAACCUCCACAUUGAAACAGGCUUACAAACCCUGAGCAACGGACAACAAUCCUAUGCACUAAAAAACUAACAUCCAUUGACCCAAGUUUUUGAUCAACGAACCAAGUUACCCUAGGGAUAACAGCGCAAUCCUCUUCAAGAGUUCCUAUCGCCAAGAGGGUUUACGACCUCGAUGUUGGAUCAGGGUAUCCCAGUGGUGCAGCCGCUACUAAUGGUUCGUUUGUUCAACGAUUAAAACCCU
rnacentral:rRNA from 1 species